UACGUAGGGGGCAAGCGUUGUCCGGAAUCAUUGGGCGUAAAGCGCACGUAGGCGGCCUGUUAAGUCGGAUGUGAAAGCCCCGGGCUCAACCCGGGAAGUGCAUUCGAAACUGAUGGGCUUGAAUAUGGAAGAGGGUCGCGGAAUUCCCGGUGUAGAGGUGAAAUUCGUAGAUAUCGGGAGGAACACCAGUGGCGAAGGCGACUUCCUGGCCUGUUCUUGACGCUGAGGCGCGAAAGCUAGGGUAGCAAACGGG
rnacentral:rRNA from 1 species